rnacentral:misc_RNA from 1 species
GUAGGUGAACCUGCGGAAGGAUCAUUACUAGAGCAAAGAACAGACAGCGCCCCACAGGAGCUUGCUCCGUGGCGGGCUACCCUACUUGUAGGGUUUAGAGUCGUCGGACCCCUCGAAGAAGUCCGGUUCUGAACUCCACCCUUGAAUAAAUUACCUUUGUUGCUUUGGCAGGCCGCCUCGUGCCAGCGGCUUCGGCUGUUGAGUGCCUGCCAGAGGACCACAACUCUUGUUUUUAGUGAUGUCUGAGUAC